rnacentral:rRNA from 1 species
GAUGAACGCUGGCGGCGUGCCUAAUACAUGCAAGUAGAACGCUGAAGGAGGAGCUUGCUCUUCUGGAUGAGUUGCGAACGGGUGAGUAACGCGUAGGUAACCUGCCUGGUAGCGGGGGAUAACUAUUGGAAACGAUAGCUAAUACCGCAUGACAACAGUUCUUGCAUGAUAACUGUUUAAAAGGGGCAACUGCUCCACUACCAGAUGGACCUGCGUUGUAUUAGCUAGUUGGUGAGGUAACGGCUCACCAAGGCGACGAUACAUAGCCGACCUGAGAGGGGGAUCGGCCACACUGGGACUGAGACACGGCCCAGACUCCUACGGGAGGCAGCAGUAGGGAAUCUUCGGCAAUGGACGGAAGUCUGACCGAGCAACGCCGCGUGAGUGAAGAAGGUUUUCGGAUCGUAAAGCUCUGUUGUAAGAGAAGAACGAUUGUGAGAGUGGAAAGUUCACACUGGGACGGUAUCUUACCAGAAAGGAACGGCUAACUACGU